GUGCAUGUUUGGUGUUCGGCACCAAGGGCAGGUGUGUUUGCCUGUGCAUGUUUGGUGUUCAGCACCAAGGACAGGUGUGUUUGCCU
rnacentral:pre_miRNA from 1 species